AGUGAACGCUGGCGGUAGGCCUAACACAUGCAAGUCGAACGGCAGCACAGUAAGAGCUUGCUCUUACGGGUGGCGAGUGGCGGACGGGUGAGGAAUACAUCGGAAUCUACUUUUUCGUGGGGGAUAACGUAGGGAAACUUACGCUAAUACCGCAUACGACCUACGGGUGAAAGCAGGGGAUCUUCGGACCUUGCGCGAUUGAAUGAGCCGAUGUCGGAUUAGCUAGUUGGCGGGGUAAAGGCCCACCAAGGCGACGAUCCGUAGCUGGUCUGAGAGGAUGAUCAGCCGCACUGGAACUGAGACACGGUCCAGACUCCUACGGGAGGCAGCAGUGGGGAAUAUUGGACAAUGGGCGCAAGCCUGAUCCAGCCAGACCGCGUGGGUGAAGAAGGCCUUCGGGUUGUAAAGCCCUUUUGUUGGGAAAGAAAAGCAGCAGGUUAAGACCCCGCUGUUCUGACGGUACCCAAAGAAUAAGCACCGGCUAACUUCGUG
rnacentral:rRNA from 1 species